rnacentral:rRNA from 4 species
CUUUUAAUGAGAGUUUGAUCCUGGCUCAGGACGAACGCUGGCGGCGUGCCUAA